rnacentral:snRNA from 1 species
AUCGCUUCUCGGCCUUUUUGCUAAGAUCAAAUGUAGUAUCUGUUCUUAUCAGUUUAAUAUCUGAUACGUCCUCUAUCCGAGGACAAUAUAUUAAAUGGAUUUUUGGAGCUUGGAGUUGGAAUAGGAGCUUGCUCUGUCCACUCCACGCAUNNNNN